rnacentral:rRNA from 1 species
AUUAACGCUAGCGGUGUGUAUAAGGCAUGCAAGUCGAGUGCACUUCGGGUGCACGGCAGACGGGAGCGUAACAUAUUGGUAACCUACCCCUAAGAGAGGGAUAAUCCGCCGAAAGGCGGAAUAAUACCUCAUGUGAUCCGCAUACGUAUGUGUGCGGCUUAAAGAUUUAUCGCUUAGGGAGGGGCCUAUAUCCUAUCAGCUUGUUGGCGAGGUAAAAGCUCACCAAGGCUAUGACGGGUACCGGGUGUGAGAGCAUGACCCGGCUCAAUGGGACUGAGACACUGCCCAUACUCCUACGGGAGGCUGCAGUCGAGAAUAUUCCGCAAUGGCCGAAAGGCUGACGGAGCGACACCGCGUGCAGGAAGACGCCCUUUGGGGUGUAAACUGCUUUUUUUAGGGAAGAACAAAUGACGGUACCUAAAGAAUAAGGGACUGCUAACCUCGU